rnacentral:lncRNA from 1 species
AGAAAACACUGAGAUAACCAACUAUGAUAAACUGCAGUUGGAAUUUAACGACCCAGUGGAUGGGAAACAAAGGGAAGAAAUGAGACUUGAAAAAACAAACAAACAGGGAGAUCAAGUGAAGGGUGGGCAGACCUCUAUUUGACUGAUGCUUGCUCCCUUUGAAGGUAUGUAGGAAAUUUUGUAGUACUGAGACCUGUGCCUCUGAGAAUCCCUUGAAACCUGACAGACUCAAGGAAACUAAGAAAUAAAAUUACAGGCCACUGUCACACCACUUGGGGAAAAAUUGGAAAUCAGACACACGAGUGUGGCUUUGUUUUCCUGGAGCUCCUCAGGGGAAGGUGGAAACAUGAAUAUCUAUUGGCACCUACUUCUACAAAAGACCAGCUGAAACAUCUAACCUGGUGGGACUGAGCAACUACUAGAUUCUUCGACUUCCCAUUCACAGUGACUUCUGGCUGUUUCCACUGACUUGGGCUGAUUGACAGAGACUCUUCUGUUUGUUCUGGAUGAACUGCCAUUGCUGAUUCAUAGAGAGAAUCUACAAGUGACUUGAGGUACUGCUGCUGAUCUGUGUGAACUGAACUGCAAAUAUUUUGACAAGAUUGGAAUUGCCCCAAAUAAAUGUUUCUAAAUAGGUCCACAUCUUC